rnacentral:rRNA from 1 species
GAUGAACGCUGGCGGCGUGCCUAAUACAUGCAAGUCGAGCGAAGGGGGGACGGGGGAGGAACGCGUAGAGAACCUCCUAUACGACUGGGAUAACUUCGGGAAACAGGUGCUAAACCGGAAACUUAUAGAUGGAUCUACGCUGCAUUAGCUAGUUGGUACGGUACCGGCUUACCAAGGCAACGAUGCAUAGCCGACCUGAGAGGGUGAUCGGCCACACUGGAACUGAGACACGGUCCAGACUCCUACGGGAGGCAGCAGUAGGGAAUCUUCCGCAAUGGGCGAAAGCCUGACGGAGCAACGCCGCGUGAGUGAUGAAGGUCUUCGGAUCGUAAAACUCUGUUAUUAGGGAAGCGGUACCUAAUCAGAAAGCCACGGCUAACUACGUGCCAGCAGCCGCGGUAAUAC